AUUCCAUGAUGUGGGCACUUCCUUUGCAACUCUUUAAAACGUUCCCACGCAUCAUAUAACGACUCCCCAUCCAGCUGAUGGAAGUAUUAAUCUCUCCUAUAUAUCGGGCU